GAUGAACGCUAGCUACAGGCUUAACACAUGCAAGUCGAGGGGAAACGACAUCGAAAGCUUGCUUUUGAUGGGCGUCGACCGGCGCACGGGUGAGUAACGCGUAUCCAACCUGCCCAUCACUUGGGAAUAACCUUGCGAAAGUAAGACUAAUACCCAAUGACAUCCCACGAAGACAUCUGAAUGGGAUUAAAGAUUUAUCGGUGAUGGAUGGGGAUGCGUCUGAUUAGCUUGUUGGCGGGGUAACGGCCCACCAAGGCAACGAUCAGUAGGGGUUCUAGAGGAAGGUCCCCCACAUUGGAACUGAGACACGGUCCAAACGCCUACGGGGGGCAGCAGUGAGGAAUAUUGGUCAAUGGGCGAGAGCCUGAACCAGCCAAGUAGCGUGCAGGAUGACGGCCCUAUGGGUUGUAAACUGCUUUUAUAAGGGAAUAAAGUGGGUCUCGUGAGACUUUUUGCAUGUACCUUAUGAAUAAGGACCGGCUAAUUCCGUG
rnacentral:rRNA from 1 species